rnacentral:rRNA from 1 species
GAUGAACGCUGGCGGCGUGCCUAAUACAUGCAAGUCGAGCGAACGGACGAGAAGCUUGCUUCUCUGAUGUUAGCGGCGGACGGGUGAGUAACACGUGGAUAACCUACCUAUAAGACUGGGAUAACUUCGGGAAACCGGAGCUAAUACCGGAUAAUCUUUUGAACCGCAUGGUUCAAAAGUGAAAGACGGUCUUGCUGUCACUUAUAGAUGGAUCCGCGCUGCAUUAGCUAGUUGGUAAGGUAACGGCUUACCAAGGCAACGAUGCAUAGCCGACCUGAGAGGGGGAUAGGCCACACUGGAACUGAGACACGGUCCAGACUCCUACGGGAGGCAGCAGUAGGGAAUCUUCCGCAAAGGGCGAAAGCAUGACGGAGCAACGCCGCGUGAGUGAUGAAGGUCUUCGGAUCGUAAAACUCUGUUAUUAGGGAAGAACAUAUGUGUAAGUAAAUGUGCACAUCUUGACGGUAACUAAUCAGAAAGCCACGGCUAACUACGUG